rnacentral:rRNA from 1 species
UACGUAGGGGGCAAGCGUUUGUCCGGAAUCAUUGGGCGUAAAGCGCGUGUAGGCGGCCCGAUAAGUCCGCUGUGAAAUCUCCGAGCUUAACUCGGAAAGGUCAACUGAUACUGUGCGGCUAGAGUGCGGAAGGGGCAACUGGAAUUCUUGGUGUAGCGGUGAAAUGCGUAGAUAUCAAGAGGAACACCUGCGGCGAAGGCGGGUUGCUGGGCCGACACUGACGCUGAUGCGCGAAAGCUAGGGGAGCGAACGGG